rnacentral:lncRNA from 1 species
AUGAAUCUCGGAGUUGUCAGCAUUCACAGCAAAGGGCAUUUCCAGGCUAAAAUCUAAGUAAACAAGCUCCAGAACAAAGAAGACACCAUGUUCAAAGUGUGUGAAAAUGGAUAACAAAUAGGAAACAUUUAAAAACAAGCACUUUGUGGAAAACCAUGUUUCCUUGAUGUGCUUUCUGUCAUGGUAUCUGAAACACUGCAAAAGGACAUUGAAGAUCUGGGAGGGAGAGUUGACAAUCUUCCCAAAUAAGAUACAGUUAUCUUAUUUCAAAUAAAAAGGAAGCAAAAUUGGCACAAGUUUGGGUCAAAUUUCUCCUGUGCCAAGUCUAGAAUCAGCAGGUAGUGCUGAAAUCACUGUCCCACAUCCCAGACAUAGUGAGCAUUCUUUUAAGGCUCCAGGCUCAAGUGUGUGCAAACAGAGGGAAAUUACACUUGAAAAAAAAGAUCAAGGACCGUGAAUUAGAUACAACCUUGGACAACAAAAGCAGCAACCAUGAAAGGUUGUAUGUACUUAAGAAGUCAAACACUUCUGGGAAAGCUGUGGGGAAGAGAGUUGGUAUAUGGGAAAAAAGUGGUAAACUCAAAACGCCUUUUG